rnacentral:rRNA from 1 species
GACGAACGCUGGCGGCGUGCUUAACACAUGCAAGUCGAACGAUGAAGCCCAGCUUGCUGGGUGGAUUAGUGGCGAACGGGUGAGUAACACGUGAGUAACCUGCCCUUGACUCUGGGAUAAGCGCUGGAAACGGCGUCUAAUACCGGAUACGACCUGCCCCGGCAUCGGGUGCGGGGGGAAAGUUUUUCGGUCAAGGAUGGACUCGCGGCCUAUCAGCUAGUUUGUGAGGUAAUGGCUCACCAAGGCGACGACGGGUAGACGGCCUGAGAGGGUGACCGGCCACACUGGGACUGAGACACGGCCCAGACUCCUACGGGAGGCAGCAGUGGGGAAUAUUGCACAAUGGGCGAAAGCCUGAUGCAGCAACGCCGCGUGGGGGAUGACGGCCUUCGGGUUGUAAACCUCUUUUAGUAGGGAAGAAGGGCUUCGGCUUGACGGUACCUGCAGAAAAAGCACCGGCUAACUACGUGCCAGCAGCCGCCGUAA